rnacentral:rRNA from 1 species
CAGUCGCCACGGGAAUACGGAGGGUGCAAGCGUUAAUCGGAAUUACUGGGCGUAAAGCGCACGCAGGCGGUCUGACAAGUCAGAUGUGAAAUCCCCGGGCUUAACCUGGGAACUGCAUUUGAAACUGUCAGGCUGGAGUCUUGUAGAGGGGGGUGGAAUUCCAGGUGUAGCGGUGAAAUGCGUAGAGAUCUGGAGGAAUACCGGUGGCGAAGGCGGCCCCCUGGACAAAGACUGACGCUCAGGUGCGAAAGCGUGGGGAGCAAACAGGAUUAGAUACCCUGUAGUCCCUGUCUCUUAUACA